rnacentral:rRNA from 1 species
UACAGAGGGGGCGAGCGUUAUUCGGAAUUACUGGGCGUAAAGGGCGCGUAGGCGGCCAGCACAAGUCAGUUGUGAAAUCUCCGAGCUUAACUCGGAACGGUCAACUGAUACUGUGCGGCUAGAGUGCGGAAGGGGCAACUGGAAUUCUUGGUGUAGCGGUGAAAUGCGUAGAUAUCUGGAGGAACACCGGUGGCGAAGGCGGCAUCCUGGACCGGCAUUGACGCUGAGGCGCGAAAGCCAGGGGAGCAAACGGG